CAGAGAUUAGCUUGCUUUAUUUGUCAGCUAAGUGGCGCACGGGUGAGUAAUGUAUAGAUAACCUGCCCUUAAGAAAGGAAUAACAGUUGGAAACGACUGCUAAUGCCCUAUAUGCCUUUAAUACAUAAGUAUGCAAGGGAAACGCUUUAGUGCUUAAGGAUGGGUCUGUAUGGUAUCAGCUUGUUGGUGAGGUAAUGGCUCACCAAGGCUAUGACGCCUAACUGGUUUGAGAGGAUGAUCAGUCACACUGGAACUGAGACACGGUCCAGACUCCUACGGGAGGCAGCAGUGGGGAAUAUUGCACAAUGGACGAAAGUCUGAUGCAGCAACGCCGCGUGGAGGAUGACACAUUUCGGUGCGUAAACUCCUUUUAUAUAGGAAGAUAAUGACGGUACUAUAUGAAUAAGCACCGGCUAACUCCGUGCCAGCAGCCGCGGUAAUACGGAGGGUGCAAGCGUUACUCGGAAUCACUGGGCGUAAAGAGCGUGUAGGCGGGUAUAUAAGUCAGAAGUGAAAUCCUAUAGCUUAACUAUAGAACUGCUUUUGAAACUGUAUACCUAGAAUAUGGGAGAGGUAGAUGGAAUUUCUGG
rnacentral:rRNA from 1 species